GGCCGGGGCGCAGCUACCAUGCAGUCGAGCGGUAACAGAUCCAGCUUGCUGGAUGCUGACGAGCGGCGGACGGGUGAGUAAUGCAUAGGAAUCUGCCCGAUAGUGGGGGAUAACCUGGGGAAACCCAGGCUAAUACCGCAUACGUCCUACGGGAGAAAGGGGGCUUCGGCUCCCGCUAUCGGAUGAGCCUAUGUCGGAUUAGCUAGUUGGUGAGGUAACGGCUCACCAAGGCCACGAUCCGUAGCUGGUCUGAGAGGAUGAUCAGCCACAUCGGGACUGAGACACGGCCCGAACUCCUACGGGAGGCAGCAGUGGGGAAUAUUGGACAAUGGGGGGAACCCUGAUCCAGCCAUGCCGCGUGUGUGAAGAAGGCCCUCGGGUUGUAAAGCACUUUCAGCGAGGAAGAACGCCUAGCGGUUAAUACCCGCUAGGAAAGACAUCACUCGCAGAAGAAGCACCGGCUAACUCCGUGCCAGCAGCCGCGGUAAUACGGAGGGUGCAAGCGUUAAUCGGAAUUACUGGGCGUAAAGCGCGCGUAGGUGGCUUGAUAAGCCGGUUGUGAAAGCCCCGGGCUCAACCUGGGAACGGCAUCCGGAACUGUCAAGCUAGAGUGCAGGAGAGGAAGGUAGAAUUCCCGGUGUAGCGGUGAAAUGCGUAGAGAUCGGGAGGAAUACCAGUGGCGAAGGCGGCCUUCUGGACUGACACUGACACUGAGGUGCGAAAGCGUGGGUAGCAAACAGGAUUAGAUACCUGGGGUUGUUCA
rnacentral:rRNA from 1 species